GGUUGACCUCGGAUCAGGUAGGGAUACCCGCUGAACUUAAGCAUAUCAAUAAGCGGAGGAAAAGAAACCAACAGGGAUUGCCUCAGUAACGGCGAGUGAAGCGGCAAGAGCUCAAAUUUGAAAGCUGGCUCCUUCGGGGUCCGCAUUGUAAUUUGCAGAGGAUGCUUCGGGAGCGGCCCCCAUCUAAGUGCCCUGGAACGGGCCGUCAUAGAGGGUGAAAAUCCCGUCUGGGAUGGGGUGUCCGCGCCCGUGUGAAGCUCCUUCGACGAGUCGAGUUGUUUGGGAAUGCAGCUCUAAAUGGGUGGUAAAUUUCAUCUAAAGCUAAAUAUUGGCCGGAGACCGAUAGCGCACAAGUAGAGUGAUCGAAAGAUGAAAAGCACUUUGAAAAGAGAGUUAAACAGCACGUGAAAUUGUUGAAAGGGAAGCGCUUGCGACCAGACUCGCCCACGGGGUUCAGCCGGCAUUCGUGCCGGUGUACUUCCCCGCGGGCGGGCCAGCGUCGGUUUGGGCGGCCGGUCAAAGGCCCUCGGAAUGUAACGCCCCCCGGGGCGUCUUAUAGCCGAGGGUGCCAUGCGGCCAGCCCAGACCGAGGAACGCGCUUCGGCUCGGACGCUGGCAUAAUGGUCGUAAGCGACC
rnacentral:rRNA from 1 species